AGCGAGUAGUCGUGCUGCACUUCGCUCCGCAGAUUAAAUCUCGUGUCUUGUGACGGCCGGCCGCCCAACAACCUGCCCGCUUGACCCUAUCCCCUCCUCUCUUCUCCAGACCAUUUCCGGAGACCUUCUCCCUUACCUCACCUCGCUCAUCAACUCAUCCUUGACCGCUUGCUACGUCCCUUCCGUCUUCAAGAGAGCGAGAGUUGCACCCCUUCUGAAAAAACCUACACUCGAUCCCUCCGAUGUCAACAACUACAGACCAACUCAUCCUGCUGCUGAUGACGACGAUGACCUUGACACCAGCGUCAGUAGUACAGAGCCUGUAGACCCAUUGGAUGAAUGCUUUCAGACUGGAAUAAGCUCAAGCUCAACAUCAUCUGACUUUGAAACAAGCCAGGACAGCCAAAGGAGACUUGCAGUACAAAUCAAAGCAUUGGGAAGUGAAGAAAGUGUACGAGAGGCUUGUCCACCUGGCUGUGGAGUGCAGAAAGGACCAGACGGUUGUCUACAAGGAGCCUGAGUCACAGCUCCCCAAACCCAACAUCCCUUCCAACAUCGCCACAGCACCAAAGCCUGCGAAAACAGCUUCCAUUACGCAGCACAAGAAGAGGUUCACCAGUUGAAGAACAUUCUGGAACCUGCUUGGAACAUUCAACCAACACAACACCUUAUUCAGUUAAACUCUUGUUGUAGUAUAAUAUUGUAUGUUCAUUACUGCAUUGUGCUAUAUAUAUAUAGCUGUUGUACAUAUGUAUAUAAUGGUGUCGUAUGUGAUAUUUUGUACAAGUGUACUGACAAGUGACUAAAUGGAAUUCCAGCUGUAUCAGAAACCAAUAAAGUGUUGGAUCAAUUCAUUGUGAUCCCUUACGAAAAAAGAUUGCAGUCAGAAUGCAGUAUAACUGUGGUACACUGCAGUAUAACUGUAGUUAGA
rnacentral:lncRNA from 1 species